ACGCACGCUGGCGGCGUGCUUAACACAUGCAAGUCGAGCGAGGCCCCUCCUUCGGGAGGGUGUCCUAGCGGCGAACGGGUGAGUAACACGUGGGCAACCUGCCCUCAGCUCUGGGAUAACUCCGGGAAACCGGGGCUAAUACCGGAUACGACCUCCACGGGCAUCUGCGGAGGUGGAAAGUUUUUCGGCUGAGGAUGGGCCCGCGGCCUAUCAGCUAGUUGGUGGGGUAGUGGCCCACCAAGGCGACGACGGGUAGCCGGCCUGAGAGGGCGACCGGCCGCACUGGGACUGAGACACGGCCCAGACUCCUACGGGAGGCAGCAGUGGGGAAUAUUGCGCAAUGGGCGAAAGCCUGACGCAGUGACGCCGCGUGAGGGACGAAGGCCUUCGGGUUGUAAACCUCUUUCAGCAGGGACGAAGCGAAAGUGACGGUACCUGCAGAAGAAGCACCGGCCAACUACGUG
rnacentral:rRNA from 1 species